GAUGAACGCUAGCUACAGGCUUAACACAUGCAAGUCGAGGGGCAGCAUUGGAGUAGCAAUACUUCAGAUGGCGACCGGCGCACGGGUGAGUAACACGUAUCCAACCUGCCGCUUACUCGGGGAUAGCCUUUCGAAAGAAAGAUUAAUACCCGAUGGUAUAAAGAGUUCGCAUGUUCUCUUUAUUAAAGAAUUUCGGUAAGCGAUGGGGAUGCGUUCCAUUAGAUAGUUGGCGGGGUAACGGCCCACCAAGUCUACGAUGGAUAGGGGUUCUGAGAGGAAGGUCCCCCACAUUGGAACUGAGACACGGUCCAAACUCCUACGGGAGGCAGCAGUGAGGAAUAUUGGUCAAUGGACGAGAGUCUGAACCAGCCAAGUAGCGUGAAGGAUGACUGCCCUAUGGGUUGUAAACUUCUUUUAUAAGGGAAUAAAGUGAGGGACGUGUCCCUUUUGUAUGUACCUUAUGAAUAAGGAUCGGCUAACUCCGUGCCAGCAGCCGCGGUAAAACGUAG
rnacentral:rRNA from 1 species